UCAUUAGUAUUAAGAAUUAAUAGUUGUUUUAUAGUUUUUGUCAUAGAACAGCCAAAAUUACUUCACAAAGCUUCAAUGUCCAGCAUGAUCCACUCGGAUAUAAAAUCCAGUCUCACUGUGACCCCUGUCAAGCACUAGGCAUCAUACUGAUGGGAUUAUAUGCUACUUGGGCAUGCUGUGAAAAAUUAUGGUGGUGUUUGGUUUUGAUCUGCUUAUUCACAGAGUGAAUUAGGUUCAGAUUGUGAAGUUUAAAUUAAGGAGCUAGUUCCUUACAGGAAAUUCUUGUGUACUACCAGGGCAUAUUGGUGUCCAGUCUGCCUACCUGACAGGGACACAUUCUGUUAGAAGGAUCUGACAUUAAUAUAGCCAACAAGAAUUUCCAUAUGCAAAAUAAUUUUUGUCCGCUGUACAUAAAGGGACCAAGAAUACCCUUUUGUAUUACCUAGGUUGUAGUAAAGGUAGACAGAAAUGCACGUUUGUCUGCUUGUUACCAUCCUGCUUUUGAGUUGUCCAUUUAUUAUUGUUUAAUAUUUAUAUACAUUUAAAAACACAGACAAACAAAAAACCCAACCAGUUUUGCAGUUAUCUUUGAAGGAUGUAAUGUAGAGACAAAAUGUCUCCCUUAUAUGUGGGGAUGUAUAUGCGAAGCUCAAAUGUCUGAAGGUCUUCGAGUUUGAUUGAAAAUGAAGAGUGAUCAACUUGGUAGUUUUUCUCAGAACUAGGCUUAUAUACGGUCUAGUAACCAGAGCUAUUAAUUACCUGCUUGGGUAUGGGGGAAAAUGUGUGUAUUCUGAAGUGACUGAUUCAGGUGCUUCAGUGGAUAUUUCUGCUUCUAUUGUAGAGUUGACCUAGGAACACUAAAAACUGAGCUGGUUUCUGUGCACUGAAUUAGAAUCUAUCACAUGGUCUGUCUUCCCCCCCAAGCACACGCACUAAAAUAUUUU